rnacentral:tRNA from 1 species
GCCAGUGUGGUGUCGUGGUUUGAGCAUUGGACUGUGACUCAGGAGACCAGGGUUCGAUUCCCAGAUUGACC